rnacentral:tRNA from 1 species
GGCCGAGUAGUGUAGGUGGUUAGCACGCAAGAUUCUGACUGAUUCAUCAGGAUUUUCUUGAAACCUGAGUUCGAAUCUCGGCUUGGCCU